rnacentral:rRNA from 1 species
GAUGAACGCUGGCGGCGUGCCUAAUACAUGCAAGUCGAGCGAACGGACGAGAAGCUUGCUUCUCUGAUGUUAGCGGCGGACGGGUGAGUAACACGUGGAUAACCUACCUAUAAGACUGGGAUAACUUCGGGAAACCGGAGCUAAUACCGGAUAAUAUUUUGAACCGCAUGGUUCAAAAGUGAAAGACGGUCUUGCUGUCACUUAUAGAUGGAUCCGCGCUGCAUUAGCUAGUUGGUAAGGUAACGGCUUACCAAGGCAACGAUGCAUAGCCGACCUGAGAGGGUGAUCGGCCACACUGGAACUGAGACACGGUCCAGACUCCUACGGGAGGCAGCAGUAGGGAAUCUUCCGCAAUGGGCGAAAGCCUGACGGAGCAACGCCGCGUGAGUGAUGAAGGUCUUCGGAUCGUAAAACUCUGUUAUUAGGGAAGAACAUAUGUGUAAGUAACUGUGCACAUCUUGACGGUACCUAAUCAGAAAGCCACGGCUAACUACGUGCCAGCAGCCGCGGUAAUACGUAGGUGGCAAGCGUUAUCCGGAAUUAUUGGGCGUAAAGCGCGCGUAGGCGGUUUUUUAAGUCUGAUGUGAAAGCCCACGGCUCAACCGUGGAGGGUCAUUGGAAACUGGAAAACUUGAGUGCAGAAGAGGAAAGUGGAAUUCCAUGUGUAGCGGUGAAAUGCGCAGAGAUAUGGAGGAACACCAGUGGCGAAGGCGACUUUCUGGUCUGUAACUGACGCUGAUGUGCGAAAGCGUGGGGAUCAAACAGGAUUAGAUACCCUGGUAGUCCACGCCGUAAACGAUGAGUGCUAAGUGUUAGGGGGUUUCCGCCCCUUAGUGCUGCAGCUAACGCAUUAAGCACUCCGCCUGGGGAGUACGACCGCAAGGUUGAAACUCAAAGGAAUUGACGGGGACCCGCACAAGCGGUGGAGCAUGUGGUUUAAUUCGAAGCAACGCGAAGAACCUUACCAAAUCUUGACAUCCUUUGACAACUCUAGAGAUAGAGCUUUCCCCUUCGGGGGACAAAGUGACAGGUGGUGCAUGGUUGUCGUCAGCUCGUGUCGUGAGAUGUUGGGUUAAGUCCCGCAACGAGCGCAACCCUUAAGCUUAGUUGCCAUCAUUAAGUUGGGCACUCUAAGUUGACUGCCGGUGACAGACCGGAGGAAGGUGGGGAUGACGUCAAAUCAUCAUGCCCCUUAUGAUUUGGGCUACACACGUGCUACAAUGGACAAUACAAAGGGCAGCGAAACCGUGAGGUCAAGCAAAUCCCAUAAAGUUGUUCUCAGUUCGGAUUGUAGUCUGCAACUCGACUACAUGAAGCUGGAAUCGCUAGUAAUCGUAGAUCAGCAUGCUACGGUGAAUACGUUCCCGGGUCU